GAUGAAGAACGUAGUGAAAUGCGAUACGUAAUGUGAAUUGCAGAAUUCAGUGAAUCAUCGAGUCUUUGAACGCACAUUGCGCCCCCUGGUAUUCCGGGGGGCAUGCCUGUCCGAGCGUCAUUGCUGCCCUCAAGCACGGCUUGUGUGUUGGGCCUCCGUCCUCCUCCCGGGGGACGGGCCCGAAAGGCAGCGGCGGCACCGCGUCCGGUCCUCGAGCGUAUGGGGCUUCGUCACCCGCUCUUGUAGGCCCGGCCGGCGCUUGCCGACACAUCAAUCUUUUUUCCAGGUUGACCUCGGAUCAGGUAGGGAUACCCGCUGAACUUAAGCAUAUCAAUAAGGGAGGA
rnacentral:misc_RNA from 1 species